UGUUCUUGGCAAUGGGUAAAGAGACACCUUGCUGAUGGUGUUGUUCUUGUUUUAGUCAGGGGCAGAGUAGUUAACAGUUCUUUGUUCAUCUCAGCUUCAUACCCAGCUUGGUAGCUAAACAUGUUUUAUGCUUAGGACACAUAA